rnacentral:lncRNA from 1 species
CUCGCCUGGCCUCUUGCCACCUCGGGCUUUCCACUGGCGUCGUGAGCAGCUCUUAACAUCCCUUCACCCUCACGGGUUCCAGGCAGGAUUUGUCCCUCGGGGGAGCCAUUACGGCCCGCCCUAGCCCGAGUGGAUUUGGCCCAAUUCCUUCCUCUGGGAAUUAGGUCGCCUCCCCCACUGCUCGAACCCUUGACCUCCCACUUUAAGGGAAUAGUCUGGUGAGAGUGAGUACCAAUUCA